rnacentral:rRNA from 1 species
UACGGAGGGUGCAAGCGUUAUCCGGAUUUACUGGGUUUAAAGGGUGCGUAGGCGGGCCAUUAAGUCAGUGGUGAAAGCUCCGAGCUUAACUCGGAAACUGCCAUUGAUACUAUUGGUCUUGAAUUCGGUCGAGGUUGGCGGAAUGUGUCGUGUAGCGGUGAAAUGCUUAGAUAUGACACAGAACACCGAUUGCGAAGGCAGCUAGCUAGACCGACAUUGACGCUGAGUCGAGCGAAAGCGUGGGGAUCAAACAGG